rnacentral:rRNA from 1 species
AACGAACGCUGGCGGCGUGGAUAAGACAUGCAAGUCGAACGAGGAAUUUCCGGAGCUUGCUUUGGAAAUUCCUAGUGGCGAACGGGUGAGUAACACGUGGGCAACGUGCCCAGAAGUUUGGGAUAGCCCGAGGAAACUCGGAUUAAUACCGGAUGUGGCCGGGAAAGGCAUCUUUCCUUGGCUAAAGGCGGGGCAACCUGUCGCUUCUGGAUCGGCCCGCGGCCUAUCAGCUUGAUGGUGAGGUAACGGCUCACCAUGGCUACGACGGGUAACUGGUCUGAGAGGAUGAUCAGUCACACUGGAACUGAGACACGGUCCAGACACCUACGGGUGGCAGCAGUCGAGAAUCAUUCGCAAUGGGCGAAAGCCUGACGGUGCGACGCCGCGUGGAGGAUGACGGCCCUAGGGUUGUAAACUCCUGUCAUCAGUGAGUAAGGCUUACGGAAGUAACUGUCCGGAAGUUCGAUAGUAGCUGAAGAGGAAGAGACGGCUAACUCUGUGCC